GGNNNGCGCAGCUACACAUGCAGUCGAGCGGCAGCGGAAAGUAGCUUGCUACUUUGCCGGCGAGCGGCGGACGGGUGAGUAAUGUCUGGGAAACUGCCUGAUGGAGGGGGAUAACUACUGGAAACGGUAGCUAAUACCGCAUAACGUCGCAAGACCAAAGAGGGGGACCUUCGGGCCUCUUGCCAUCAGAUGUGCCCAGAUGGGAUUAGCUAGUAGGUGGGGUAACGGCUCACCUAGGCGACGAUCCCUAGCUGGUCUGAGAGGAUGACCAGCCACACUGGAACUGAGACACGGUCCAGACUCCUACGGGAGGCAGCAGUGGGGAAUAUUGCACAAUGGGCGCAAGCCUGAUGCAGCCAUGCCGCGUGUAUGAAGAAGGCCUUCGGGUUGUAAAGUACUUUCAGCGGGGAGGAAGGUGUUGAGGUUAAUAACCACAGCAAUUGACGUUACCCGCAGAAGAAGCACCGGCUAACUCCGUGCCAGCAGCCGCGGUAAUACGGAGGGUGCAAGCGUUAAUCGGAAUUACUGGGCGUAAAGCGCACGCAGGCGGUCUGUCAAGUCGGAUGUGAAAUCCCCGGGCUCAACCUGGGAACUGCAUUCGAAACUGGCAGGCUAGAGUCUUGUAGAGGGGGGUAGAAUUCCAGGUGUAGCGGUGAAAUGCGUAGAGAUCUGGAGGAAUACCGGUGGCGAAGGCGGCCCCCUGGACAAAGACUGACGCUCAGGUGCGAAAGCGUGGGGAGCAAACAGGAUUAGAUACCCUGGUAGUCCACGCCGUAAACGAUGUCGACUUGGGAGGUUGUGCCCUUGAGGCGUGGCUUCCGGAGCUAACGCGUUAAGUCGACCGCCUGGGGAGUACGGCCGCAAGGUUAAAACUCAAUGAAUUGACGGGGGCCCGCACAAGCGGUGGAGCAUGUGGUUUAUUCGAUGCAACGCGAAGAACCUUACCUACUCUUGACAUCCAGAGAACUUACCAGAGAUGCUUUGGUGCCUUCGGGACUCUGAGACAGGUGCUGCAUGGCUGUCGUCAGCUCGUGUUGUGAAAUUGUUGGGUUAGUCCGCAACGAGCGCAACCCUUAUCUUUUGUGCCAGCGUUCGGCCGGGACUCAAGGANACUGCCAGUGAUAACCUGGAGAAAGUGGAG
rnacentral:rRNA from 1 species